AAAAUAAGUAAAUAUAUGGAGUCAUCCAUGCAAAUGCAUCGGCAAAUGAUAUGUAGUAAACUUUUACUAGAACAAUUCUUAAAUCCUGUCAGAAAUCACUACUACCAUCACAAAGGCAUAAGUUACAUUUCCAAAGAUCAAUAAUAUUCCACAUUAAUCCAUAGAGAAGAGUGAUAUAUGACAAAUUAAUUUAGCCUAAAUAUACGGUUAUUACUUGGUCAUCUUAAAAUUUUAUUACAGAUCAUCUGUUUCGCUGUAAAUCAAACAAGUAAGGUCAAUAUAAUCUUUCUUUUUAUAUCGAGAAUGACAUGCAAUUGAUCAAUUCAAAUGCUUACCCAUUUAUUUGUCAUUUUUUUGUCAAAUUGAAACAAUAGAUACAUUAAUAUUUUUCUUUGCACAGAUUCAGUUAUAAAUAAUUUUUCAAAAACAGAGUCACCAAUAACAAUCAAGAAUGUUUAUCUAACAAUAACAUCUUAUAAAAACCAAAGUUAACUAAAUUUCAUGGCUUAAUUUUGUACUAGUUGUUCUUCUAGAAAAUUAGAAAAACCAUGCUCAAAAUCGUA
rnacentral:misc_RNA from 1 species